CUCCUUUGACGUUAGCGGCGGACGGGUGAGUAACACGUGGGUAACCUACCUAUAAGACUGGGAUAACUUCGGGAAACCGGAGCUAAUACCGGAUAAUAUUUCGAACCGCAUGGUUCGAUAGUGAAAGAUGGUUUUGCUAUCACUUAUAGAUGGACCCGCGCCGUAUUAGCUAGUUGGUAAGGUAACGGCUUACCAAGGCGACGAUACGUAGCCGACCUGAGAGGGUGAUCGGCCACACUGGAACUGAGACACGGUCCAGACUCCUACGGGAGGCAGCAGUAGGGAAUCUUCCGCAAUGGGCGAAAGCCUGACGGAGCAACGCCGCGUGAGUGAUGAAGGUCUUCGGAUCGUAAAACUCUGUUAUUAGGGAAGAACAUACGUGUAGUAACUAUGCACGUUUUGGCGGGUACCUAAUCAGAAAGCCACGGCUAACUACGUGCCCAGCAGCCGCGGUAAUACGUAGGUGGCAAGCGUUAUCCGGAAUUAUUGGGCGUAAAGCGCGCGUAGGCGGUUUUUUAAGUCUGAUGUGAAAGCCCACGGCUCAACCGUGGAGGGUCAUUGGAAACUGGAAAACUUGAGUGCAGAAGAGGAAAGUGGAAUUCCAUGUGUAGCGGUGAAAUGCGCAGAGAUAUGGAGGAACACCAGUGGCGAAGGCGACUUUCUGGUCUGUAACUGACGCUGAUGUGCGAAAGCGUGGGGAUCAAACAGGAUUAGAUACCCUGGUAGUCCACGCCGUAAACGAUGAGUGCUAAGUGUUUAGGGGGGUUUCCGCCCCUUUAGUGCUGCAGCUAACGCAUUAAGCACUCCGCCUGGGGGAGUACGACCGCAAGGUUGAAACUCAAAGGAAUUGACGGGGACCCGCACAAGCGGUGGAGCAUGUGGUUUAAUUCGAAGCAACGCGAAGAACCUUACCAAAUCUUGACAUCCUUUGACAACUCUAGAGAUAGAGCCUUCCCCUUCGGGGGACAAAGUGACAAGGGGUGGCAUGGGUUGUCCUCCACUCGUGUCGUGAGAUGUUGGGUUAAGUCCCGCAACGAGCGCAACCCUUAAGCUUAGUUGCCAUCAUUAAGUUGGGCACUCUAAGUUGACUGCCGGUGACAAACCGGAGGAAGGUGGGGAUGACGUCAAAUCAUCAUGCCCCUUAUGAUUUGGGCUACACACGUGCUACAAUGGACAAUACAAAGGGCAGCGAAACCGCGAGGUCAAGCAAAUCCCAUAAAGUUGUUCUCAGUUCGGAUUGUAGUCUGCAACUCGACUACAUGAAGCUGGAAUCGCUAGUAAUCGUAGAUCAGCAUGCUACGGUGAAUACGUUCCCGGGUCUUGUACACACCGCCC
rnacentral:rRNA from 1 species